rnacentral:rRNA from 1 species
GAUGAACGCUGACAGAAUGCUUAACACAUGCAAGUCUACUUGAUUCUACUUCGGUAGUUGAUGGUGGCGGACGGGUGAGUAACGCGUAAAGAAUCUGCCCUUUAGUUCGGGAUAACCUUUGGAAACGAAGGAUAAUACCGGAUAUUAUGGAGACGUCGCAUGACGAUUUCAUGAAAGCUAUAUGCGCUAGAGGAGGUCUUUGCGUCCCAUUAGUUAGUUGGUGAGGUAAUGGCUCACCAAGACCGCGAUGGGUAGCCGGCCUGAGAGGGUGAUCGGCCACAAGGGAACUGAGACAUGGUCCUUACUCCUACGGGAGGCAGCAGUGGGGAAUAUUGGACAAUGGGCCACAAGCCUGAUCCAGCAAUUCUGUGUGCACGAUGAAGGUCUUCGGAUUGUAAAGUGCUUUCAGUAGGGAAGAAAAAAAUGACGGUACCUACAGAAGAAGCGACGGCUAAAUAUGUGCCAGCCGCCGCCGUAACAC